GGCAGCUCCUUCAACUUGUAGGUGAUUUACUCAUUUUACUAUCCCUCCAAGGAAAAAGGAAUACAGCACACUAUUAAGACUUUAAAUUUUCUGGCAGACGGGGGAUACAAAGUAUCUAAGACCAAAGCUUAAUUACUUAAAUAAAAGGUGAAUUAUGUAGUAUUCAUUUUGACACUGGGAAAACGUAGUCUUUCCUGGAAGAAAAUCCAAACAGUUGCCCAAAUACCUACUCCAACCACCUGGAAACAACUUCUAAGAUUAGCCAGAUACUGUAGACUCUGGAUUUUAGGAUAUGGAGAAAUUUCAAAGUCCCUAUACUUAGCCCGAAGGAGAGAGACAGACACAGACUCCCUGCUCUGGGACCAAGAGCAAAGACAGAACGUUAGGCAUCUAAAACAGGCCCUAACCCAGGCCCCAGCCCUCCGAUUCCCAAUACUAGAUAAGCCAUUCCAAUUGUAUGGAACCGAGGAAAAAAGAAUGGCCUUGGGAGUCCUGUCAUAGGUCCUUGGCCCAACCAAAAGACUGGUAAGCUAUCUACCCAAAGGUUUAGAUUCAGUCGCAUUGUUUUAGGAUUGUUGUAGCUGCUGCAUUACUGGUGGAAGCCUCUGCAAUGUCUUUAGGCCAACAAUUUGUCCUUUACACCUCUUAUCAAAUAGGCCCCUUGUUAGACCUAAAAGAACCUCAUUGGCUCACAGAUAGUUGAACACUCAGAUACAAGGUAUUGUUCCUGGAAAAUCCCCAGGUUAAAAUAGAAAAAAAUGUAACACCCUAAAUCCUGCCACCUUAAUGCCAUUCCCUGAAAAGGACCAACCUAUACAUUCUUGUUGUGAAACCUUUUGAACAAAUUUAUGCAAGUAGACAGGACCUACUGAACAGCCUUAUGUAAUCCAGAGGAAAAUUGAUUCACAGACGGACGCAGCUUUGUACUAAAUGGAACCCAUCAUGCGGUAUGCUAUAGUUUGUUUACAUCAAAUUAUAGAGGCCAAAUCUCUUCCUUCAGGAACUUCUGAACACUAGUUGAAUUAAUAGCACUCAUCAGGGCCCUAGAAUUAGGGCAAGACAAAAAAAAUUGAAUAUAUAUAUAUACAGACUUUAAGAAUGCUUUUCUAAUACUUCUUGAUCAUACUAUCUGGAAGGAAAGGGGAUAUAUUAACAGCAAAGGAUACCCCUAUUAAACACAGGCCUAAAAUUUUUAAAUUAUUACAGGCAUUUCAUUUACCUAAAGAAAUAGCAGUUAUACUCUGCAAGGGACAUCAAAAUAAAAUAACACAAGGAAACAAAUACGCUGAUAAAGUUGCAAAGGUAGUCGCCACCUCUGCAGAUAUAUUCUUGGGAGCACUAAUCCCAUCCUUACCUACAGAACUACCAAACCCUAAAUAUACUCAAGAAGAAAUGCAAUGGACAUCCCAACACAAUGCACCAAGGUGUCAACAGGAUGGUUCCAGUUAGAGGGACGCCUUUAUGUACCCUCAAUUUUAACAAUGGAAAAUCAUAAAAAGCCCUCCAUGAACUAUAAUAGUCUCUCAACUCAUUAGCCAAUAAAAUCUUAGACAAUUGUAUUGCCCUAGAGACAAUCUCUUAGCUUCAGAAUGAGGAAUUUUCGCUAUUCAAAACACUGCAUGCUGUACCAACAUCAAUAAUUCCAUUAAAGUAGAAAUAAGAGUACAUGAAAUUCCAAAUCAUGCAACCUGGUUAAAAGGCCUCAGAGAAACUCAACUUUUGCCCAGUACGGUGACCUCACUUACUUGAAACUGGAAAUAUUGGUUAUGGUCUCUCUUUGGAGUUCUUUUAAUCUCUCUCCUCAUCAUAUUAGUGAUAAUAUAAUAUAACACUGUUUGGUCCUUGUUUGUUUAACCUACUUGUAAAAUUUGUCUCUUCCAGGUUACAACUAUUGCACCUGUAAAUGACACUUCGCCAGGGUUUUCAACCCGUGCCCCCCCCCCCCCCCCCACACACACAUACGCAGAAACAACUCAACCCCUUGAUCAAGCUGGCCAAAAAUUCUGAUUCUGAGAAACCUCCCCUCCGCCCUGACAGACAGCAAGAGAAUGAGACCCAAUCCCCAACUUCGGCCCGUUUGUCAGCAGGAAGUAGCCAGAUGAUUGUCUACGUCCAUGAUCUCCCAAUGAAUUGGGUCUCAUAACUCUUUAGGGGGGAAAUGUUAGAGUAGGUAGUUAGGUAGAUAUGAGCAGGGCAGAGAAAGGACAAACUGACCACAAAACCAUGCUUAAGUAAAGAAGGGGAAGGGUGAAUAGAAAACUAAAACAGCCACCAAAGGCUGAAUGGUUCAGGGAGCGUAGUACAAAGCAUGGGAGGGGCAAGAAUAAGUCAAAAACCAGGACUUAGACCCAAUGGGGCACUCCAGCUUCGCUUGAUGUACUUUCUCUUGAAUAAAGCUUUGCUGCUUGCUGCAA